ensembl:lncRNA
GUACUCACGAUCUCUCUCUCACACACACACACAUGCACACACACACACUCUCAAAUGAAGUGGUGUACAGUAUCCCUUGAGAAGGGAAGAGAAAGAGAUAAAAAUAUAUCUAUAUUUAUAUAUUUAUGGAAUGUUUUUGAAUUGUUCCUGACUUGAAGUGUUUGUUUAAAUAAGAUUUCAUGCUUUUGUUUUGUUGUAAAUUAGUAUAAAUGAGAAGAUUGAAGGGGGAAGAGUGUGAUUAUCAGCUACUACAUUUAACGGUUUUCAGAAUUUUGUUCUUCUAUUUCUUCUCUCACAAGCUCUUUCUCUCCCUCUCUUCUGUGCUGUGUGAUGCAGCAGCAUUGAGUCUUGUUCUGUGACAUUGACUCUAGAAAAGAGAUAGAAUGAGAAAGGAAGAGAGUGAGAGAGAGAAGCAGGAAAAGAGAGAAGAAAAGAAAUUGUUGUUGGUUUCGGGGAGAGUGAGGGGCAGUCGAGCAGUGAUGCGGCGGGAAGCACCGGUAUCAUGGAGUUCUCAGUAUUCAGAGGAGAGAGCAAAUCGGCUGUAAAUCAUCUGGAAUCAGUAACUGUGUUAAUAGCCAGCCAUGGCUCUCCAGGACAUGACAAGAACAAAAUCCAUCAGGUGGCCCAUGGAAUUUGCCCUAAUUGGUUUUUACAGUCAUACCUUGUUUAAUAUAAUUGGACUGUCAUAUAAGGGUUGUCCUGGCUGUUAUGCUGGGCUAUUUUUACCCUGUUUAUUGUAAGUCAAUUCAGUUCCUGGAAGAUCCCUUUAAUGCCCUGACUUGCAUGUCCAAUAUUAUUAGGUGCUAUGAGUUCAGCUUGUGCAAAUCGCUUAAUGCAUAAGUCGGUAAGAGGCUCUGUGCUGGCAGGUCAGACUGAAGGUACAGCAGAUUAAUAUUUGAUCAUGCAGGAGGGUUUGUAAUCACAGCUGAUUGAUCCUUCAGCUGAGUGCCCUGGCAAUUAUCAUAAUUGUUGUCCACCGUACCGGCUU